UUCAGCAUUAAUAUUCAAAACCGGCUGUUUUCGGACGUUUUAAUAAAAUAGUUAAAUCAUUCCAAAAAUUCCCAAAUUUUUACAAGAUGACUUAAACGUUCCAUAUUUUAUUGUGUAAAAAUAUCGGGGUCCGGUUCACUACCAAUAUUUUAUAAAAAAUCAUAUUCCGGACUGAACUCAGAUUUAUGAAUUUCUGACCACAGUCCACGGAACAAUUUAUUAAAAAUUCAUCGAGUGUCCGAUUUACGAAAUUCCAGUGGGGUAAUUACACAUGCAUCGGUUGUCAUCUACUGUACAAAUUUCAUGGUCCGAUUCAUCACAAAACUCAGGUUAUGACUGAAAGUACGACACCCAUUUAUUGCUGUCAAAAUUCAGCUUAAGUUGCUGUUACAAAUUAACACUUUAAAAAUAGUAAACGAAGUCCAAAAAUUACGAUUCCGGUGCCAUUAGAACCGUAUUUCAUAAUAUCACAUUUUAGACUCAAAAUAUCAGUUUUUCGUUGAGUUUAUGGCCUGUUUACAGCCAACUGAAGUUGGCUGUAAACCAACUGAAGUUGGCUGUAAAGUACGGACAGAUUGCUGUUUUUAGUCUCUAGCUUACUAGUUUGUGCUCGGUUGAUCCCGUUAAUUAUGUUUAGUGAUCGUAACAACAUCAAACAUCCAUAUAAUCCAGCAACACAUCAGAUAAUCAACCAAUAAUCAUAAUCACACAAGAUCUACAUGCUUUACACUAAUAUUCAUCCAUUAACCACCUUGUUCAUCAUUUUAGUAGACUUUUAGACUUUGAUCUUAUGUGUUCAUAAUUUUUAACCGACAAAUCUCUUAUUAACCAUAUCAAACAUGAACAAGAAGUUGAUUAGAAGCACUUACAACUAGCUCAAGGCUAGGGAAGAAACUAUGCGAAAAAGAGGUGGAUAAAAGCAAGAUAGAGAGGUCCUUCGCCUUCCGUUAGCUCCAAGACUCCUUAUGCGUGACCCGUAACACUUGUAUAACUUUGGAAUGAGGAGAUCAAGAGCCGAAAAUGGUGGUGUGUUCAAGGGGGGUCUCGGCCGUGAGCUAGGGAGGAGAGGAGAGAAAGAGAGUUUUGGUGGAAUGGUGGUAUUUAUAAGAUCUUCCAUAUAGCAUAUUCCUAGCAU
rnacentral:lncRNA from 1 species